rnacentral:rRNA from 1 species
GAUGAACGCUGGCGGCGUGCUUAACACAUGCAAGUCGAACGUGAUCCAUUAGCAAUAGUGGUGAAAGUGGCGAACGGGUGAGUAACACGUAGAUAACCUACCCUGAAGCGGGGGAUAACGAUUGGAAACGGUCGCUAAUACCGCAUGAGCCUAUUGAAGCGGGAGUGAGAUAGGGAAAAUUCAGGUGCUUUAGGCGGGGUCUGCGUCCGAUUAGCUAGUUGGUGAGGUAACGGCUCACCAAGGCGACGAUCGGUAGCUGGUCUGAGAGGACGAUCAGCCACACGGGAACUGAGACACGGUCCCGACUCCUACGGGGGGCAGCAGUGAGGAAUAUUGGGCAAUGGGCGGAAGCCUGAUCCAGCAACGCCGCGUGAGGGAUGACGGCCU